rnacentral:rRNA from 1 species
CCUACACGAGGCAGCAGUGGGGAAUAUUGGGCAAUGGGCGCAAGCCUGACCCAGCAACGCCGCGUGAAGGAAGAAGGCUUUCGGGUUGUACACUUCUUUUCUCAGGGACGAAUAAAGUGACGGUACCUGAGGAAUAAGCCACGGCUAACUACGUGCCAGCAGCCGCGGUAAUACGUAGGUGGCAAGCGUUAUCCGUAUUUACUGGGUGUAAAGGGCGUGUAGGCGGGACUGCAAGUCAGAUGUGAAACCCACGGGCUCAACCGGUGGCCUGCAUUUGAAACUGUAGUUCUUGAGUACUGGAGAGGCAGACGGAAGUCCUAGUGUAGCGGGGAAAUGCGUAGAUAUUAGGAGGAACACCAGUGGCGAAGGCGGUCUGCUGGACAGCAACUGACGCUGAGGCGCGAAAGCGUGGGGAGCAAACAGGAUUAGAUACCCCAGUAGUC